UAUUGUCGUAACCAAUAUCAACCUGAGGCCAGCAUUCUCGAAGGUUAUACAUCCGAGGAGGUGGUUGGGUUUUGCACAGACUACUUGGCCAACCAACUGCCAAUUUGUGUGCCUCGUUCUCUCCAUGAGGGAAGGCUAGGAUGCAGUUUUAUGUACAUGUAAAUUCUAAUAAACUCUACUUGAGCUAAGAACUUGGGCAUGGUUAACUGAUAAUUUCUAUAUAUAGAAGAGACCACUUGGUAUGAUUCAGGGUGCAAACGGAGGGGGAAGUUUGCGGCGCCGCAAAAUCAAGCCCACUUAAUUACAUAUGCGGGCACCCAUGGUGCAUCGACAAAAAUAAAAGAGAAUUGCGGGUCGUCCCGCAUCUAGCCCUCAUAUCCUUCUUAGUGUCGAAUAUACUUCCCCACUUAAACUAGGUACACAUACUAGGGCACCGCCCGAGCCUCUAUAACUAGCUCCGUCGUGUUAAUAUUUCAAAAAAAAGGAUAUAAAAGACGUAAUUUCAGGAUGUGUUGCAUCCGACCACUGUUGUCUUUCAUGAGAGUAUUUUUUAAAAAUAUUUCAAGAUGUAGAAUAACAUGUAUAUAUCACCAACUCCACAAUAUCAAAUCAAUUUUAAUUGACUUUUUUGAAAUACAAAAAACAUGAAAGAUAGAAUAAGUUUAGUUCCGAGGAUGAAAAUCAAAACAUUUUUUGGGAGCUUGAGCUCUGAUCCUCCUAACUUUUGACUUUUAUAAUUGACUUUACCGAAUAUUUACAAUAAUUGUAUUAAAAUAUCAAGAGAAACUACAAAUUACGCGUGCACAUGCUAAUUUUUUACAAGCUUUGCAAAAAGACCCGAUUCAAAGGAUCAACAUUUGCUAUAUUGGCUUAUCUUUGUUUUUAUUUCUACUACGGAUUUCAUAGGUUUAUAUUUAAUCUGCUCGUGUACAAAGCUAUUUUACUAUGUGUGCAAAUGCUAUUUUUACGAGUUUUACAAAUAUACUCAUUUUAGUAUUUGCUAUAUGGGUCUCUCUUAUGUGUACAUGCUACGGAAACUAUUUAUUUAUUCUAUAAUAAUUUUAGCGUAAGAAAACUAAAGAUUAUCUGAAUAAUUUUUCUGCUAUAGGUAGAAACUAACUUAAGUAGUUCAAUAAUAAACAAAUUCAGAAUGAAACUCCAUUUCUCUUCUAAAAGGCUGCUGCACUACCCGCCCAUUGGAGGCCUCUGCUGGGGGCAAAUGAAUCUGCAUCGCACGUUUACCCCGUAACGGUAAAACUUCGACCCCGCUUUUACCUUGAGCCGUCCGAUGCGGUUGUUUUUUUUGUCACCUGUAGCUGCUCGUUUUGAGUGCAUGACAUAUGGGUCCAUGCGUGCUUGGGGCAGGUUGUCAAACACGGCGAGCGUCCAUCUUUGCGUCGCUGAGAAAGUGAAACACGGUGAAAACCUAGCCAACGAGAGCAUCCUCUCCUCCCCAAUCCCGUGAUUCGUCUCCUCCCCAAUCCACGCCUCCGCCCGCCUCCUCCCGAAUCCGCCGCCGUCCCCGGCCCCUCCGGAGCCAUCCCGUCUUUCCCCAGCCGUCCCCAGCUCCCUGCCGAGCAUCUCACACCAGAUCGACCGGUAGGAAUGGCGCAGCACAUAUCAAGAUGAUGCGGUCAGCUGAACGCCGGUGAGAUGUCUCCAGCCAGCAGGAUGCACCGGAAGAGGUGACGCGAGCCACUGUGGGCCUUCAUCCGCGAUGCGCUGCAUCGGUGCAUGGAAACGGCUGUGGUGUUCAGUGGUCUUCGCCCUAGGCGCCGCUGCUCACCGGAAUCAUGCGCUGCUGAAGCCGCCGACAGCCGGCGUCGCUGCAGGAAGCCGUGGACAAGCAGGAUCUGGAGGGACCGGUUGAAGGAGGCAUCCACCUCGCCCGAAAAAAUUUCAGGACCUCGUCCAGGAGGUAUUCAAAGGAGGCCGGGUGUCCCGACCACGGCGAGAGGAGGAGGAUGCCGUGCGGCGGGAUUAAGGCCACUGAAAGCACACUAGAAAAAUGCCCCAAACCAUUGUUGCUUCCUCUUGGGAACUAUCGAGCACCACCACGCCUCCCUCCCAUCAAGCACCACUAAGGCAUCAAGGUCUGGUGGAUUUAGUGGAUACAUUGCUUGUUUGGACAAUACUGGCAAAACAUAUCUUGGAGAGAUUCCAUCUGG